CACAUCCAUGUAGCAAGAAGUAUCGUGGGUUGUAAAAUACCUCUGCGUCCUAGAUUUUAAAGUGCUGUUAAAUUGCUUUACAGCAUCAGCUUUGGCUUCAUUGUUGGUAGCAAAGUACUGAAUGAGGUGUUUGAGCAUUUUGUUUGAAGACUUGUUUACAAUUUUUUUUGGUCCUAAUGGCACCAUAAUUCUGAGACAUGCAAAAAAGGGGCCUGCCUAAGUAGUGGCAACUCAGUCUUCCAUCUUGUCAUUUAGCUGAAGAGCUUGGCUUAGGCAUAUUUAGACAGAGCUGCUACUGCUGCUGUGAUGGUCUGAGAACUGGCCAACCCAGCCUGCUGUUGUACAUCCGUAUCUGAAACAGUAGUUCUGUUUCUCUUCAAAUUUAUUUGUGCCAUCCAGGGACAAAGCUGUGAGAGCCCUGCUCCUGCCUGUCAUUUUUCAACACCUUAGUUUGUUUUUGGUUUCUUGGAAAAGAGCACUUGCCCUUCCAGCAAUAUCAGGUUUGUAAUACAUUUUCUUUAGCAGUGACACGUUUAACCUUUCUCAGAACCAUUGCUAUUAUAAAUAUAUGGUGCCUUUCAAAUAUACAGUAAAAAUCACCCUAUAAAACAUGAUUUAUUAACCAUGUGUGGAGGCCCAAUAUUUUACAAUAGUAUUUUACUCUCUAGUUAUCCAGACCUCUUCUCAUCUGGGCAAGAACUGCACUUGGCUGCAUACAACACAGUUGGGGCAUAAGGGUCAACACUUGGCUCUCAGCAACCCAGAGGCCAAAAAUCUGCCAGGCACAGGAACAGAAACUUAGGUCCUCCUAAGAAAGCAAGGGCCGAGACCUUCUGAAGAUUGUUACCUUUCAGGUACAAAAGAAGAGUGCCAGCUGCUGGGUGGCAUCUGUACAACCUGACUCUGUUAGGGGGGCUGUUAAUGGGGACAGGUGUGACCUGCAGACGGGACGGCGUGGCUUGGUUGUGCACCAGAUGCUGUGCACACACCUGGAGGGCUGUGUGGCUUUGCUGGGAAACAGUGUGAUGUCCUGAGUAAAACACAGAGCUGGGCACUGGGAAUCCUGCAUGGUCCACCAGACCUUGCCUAAAUGAGAAUUUCUCAAGAGAGAAGGAAGCGCAUUCAAUGCAGAGUGGAUUUAAGUCUGGUUUCCAAAGGAAACAAAGCUUGUCCAAGCACAGCAUUUUUAUCUGUCCGUGUUUUCUGUCACUUUAUCAGCUAUUCCCUCAUCAUUUGUCAACUCAUUUACCAAUUUAACCAGAUUUGACUGGGGGAGGGUGGUGCAGAGGAUAUGAAGUCACUGCAGUUUUUGGUGGAUGGGUCACUGGGUGACAUAAUGAUAGUACUUCUGAUAGAUCUAAAUGAGUGCCACCACCGAGGGAAAGGCUUACAUUUUGCUACUAGUCAUUGGCCACUGAUACAUUAGCUGUACAGCCCAGCUCAAACCACCCCCAGCAGAUGUGUUUUCUAGCCCAGCAAGGAAGGAAGGAAAGGCUAGAAAAACAGCACAAAAGAGGAGGGAGCAAAGGGUGCUGUAAGGGACGUCAAGAGGUAUGAAGGAGUUAGAAGGAGCAUAUGGGAAGAGAAAGGAAUGGGAAUUAUGUGACAAUGGGAAACCCAGCUUCAUUAGUUGUGCUCUCACAGAGGUGCUUGCUGUUUCUGUCAGUGGCCUUUGGGGUGCCGUUUCAGCUGACAGAAGUUGCUAUGUUUGCAGAAGAAAGGAAGAGGAUCAAAUAACUUAGAUUUAUUUUCUAUUUGUCCUGAUCCACAUUCUGGCAUCUGCAAAUAUAGGUUUUGCUUUAGGCUGUUUUUCCUGCCCUCAUUUUCCUUUUAUGAAGGUCUGCAGAGUAACAGAGACACUUCACUUGCUGUCAGUCUUUUCCAGGGAAUUUUCCUCCUGCUUCCUUGCUCUGAAAUGUCACUAUGUCCAUUUUUUGGUAUCUGUGCUACCUCCUAUCAUUUUCCACCAGGUGUUUUUUGUGUGUCUGUUUCUUUUUUCUGUCUCUCUUCUCCUUUCCUAUAUUCUGUUGUUCCUUCAUUUCACACUUGCCUUUUUUCUGCCUCUUGUCUUCCUGCCAGUUCCAUUUUGAAAUGCCUCUCUUCUCCUACCAACUAGAAGGGCAGGUCCAAAUAGAUCAGGCUGCCAAACUGGCUUUUGAAUUUCUCUAAGGAUGGAGAGUCUCCAACAUCUCUGGGCAAUCUGCUCCAGUAUCUGAACCCCCUCAUGGUGGUAUUUUUCUUCCUUAAAUCUAAGCAGAACUUCCCACGUCACAACUUUGUCCAUUGCCUCUCAUCCUGUCGCUGUGCACCUCCAAGAAGAUUUUGGCUCUGGCUUCUCUAUAUCCUCCAACCAGAAUAGUUGCAGCCAGCACUGAAGUGACCCCUGAGCCUUCUUUUCUCCAGGCUGCACAGACGUGGCUCGCUCAGCCUCUCUUUGUGGCACCUCUCAAGGGUGCUCGAGGUGGCUCCUGACCAUCUUGGUAGUCCUGCAUUGGACUUGCUAGGUAUGGCUAUGUUUUUCUUGCAAUGGGGAGAUCAAAAUUGGACACAGUACCCAGAUGUGGCCUUACAGGUAUUGUAUAGAGGGGAAGGAUCACACCCGCUGGCAAGGCUCUUCCUAAUUCAGCCCGGGAGUCUGUUGGCUGCCUUUGCUGCAAGGACACACUGCUGGCUCACGGUCAGUUUGUCCACCAGGACCCCCAGGGCCUUUUCUGCAGAGCCGCUUCCCAGCCGGUCGGCCCCAGGCUCUGCUGGUGCAUGGGCUUACCUGCAUUUGCUUUUGUUGAACUUCCUGAUGGCUCACUUCUCCAGCCUGCGCAGCUCCCUCUGAAUGCCAGCCCUGUCCUCCUGCAGGGACUGUGCUACCACGAGUAACUCAGCAGCAGCUUGAUUUUGGACCAGGUAUCUUACUCCUUUCAGCAUAGUGACCCGGACGAUUUUCCAUUCAACUUACGGUCUGCUUAUCGAGGCCAUAUCUCAUCAGUUUUGCUGUAAGGCUGCUCCAGAGGACCAUGUUGAAAGCUUUACUACAGUCAAGGAAACAGCAUCAACCACACUCUCCUUCCACAGAAGCUAGUCACUGCGUCAUAGGCAGCAAUCAUAGACGUGGUCAGGCUUUGGCAAGUCCAUGCUGGCUGUUUCUAAUCACCUUUUUGUUCGUGUGCUGGGAUUUGCUUCGCAGCCUUCCCAGGGAUGGAGGUUGGCUGACUGAGCUGUCUGUCCCCGGAUCAUCCUUCUUGAAGAUGAGUGUGACACUUGUCUUUUUCCAGUCACCAGGAACCUCCCCGAUCUCCAAGACAUUUGAAGAGAAGAAAGUGGCUUUCAUUUGGAAGGAACUCCAGUGCUGAGACAUCCAGGAGCUCCUAAUCAUUAGGACCUACAACCAAGGUUUUUAGGUUUUUCUCCAGCUUCAUCUAAAGACUUGCACCCUCCAAAAAAGCACUGCUCUUAUAUGGCAAUGCAACUCACACAGAUGUCAUACAUCACCAUGCACUACCACUGAGAGUCCGUAGGUAAGUUAGAGACUGCAUUAGUGCAUAUCUACUGCCUUGUACUGAGAGCGCCAUAAAUGCAAAAGGUAAGAGUUGUGACAGAUUAUGUUUGGGAAGUGCUGCCUUGGGUGUGAAUUAGUCUUUAAUAAUGUUUCUAUUGUUUUUUUAGGGAUAAAUUUGACUUUUCUUGUUGACACAAAAAUCUGCCCACUUUGUGGGAGCAUGAGGCACCCACAACCCCUCCUCUCCUGGUGCCUCCAGGAGGAGGAACAGCCCUGGCAGUGAAUAACAGAGGAGCCUCUCUGCAACACAGCGCUGGUUGCACGUGCAGGAGGUGCUGCUGCAGAUGGGUGUGUUAUGGUCCCUUCUCCUCCUCACGGACUCGGGAGAGAAGAAAGGAUAACAACAGUGAACUGCAGAGCUCCUGUGAAGAUACCACAUGUCUUCUGCCAGCUGUCAUGGUAGCCUUUGCUUAAAAGAAGACCUCGCUUCCAGUUCCUCAGACUCCCUCACUUCUGCAGGUGUUUCCAAACCAUCUACAUACUCUCCCCAUUUGGUUUCAGUGAGCAGUGAUUCCCUGAGGGGUCCCAGGGUCCACAUGCACUCUGCACUGCUCUAAUGUACUCCAGCAUCUCCCCAGCUGUCACUGGCUGCUGCAAAACAGCUCCUCCUCGCACAGCUUUCCACCUGGCCUGAGUGUCCUCAUACUGCGAAGCAUCACAGCUGGAUGGAUACAGGCACUGCGGAGAGAGGUGAGGGAGCACGAGGGCGGUUGAUGCCCUAACACAGGUAGGAAUCGCUCUACAACAGCCCGCCCUUCCCUGGGCUUCAGCAAUAGGCACAGACCACAUGCAUGCACCUCCUGCAGAAGGCAUGCGGAGCACUGUGGGCAUGCACACGCCUCCGUGCUGACUCCUUCCCCCUGGCCUGGGUUUUGUUUUCUCGUCUCUUGUGCGGCUUGUCUUCAUGUCGGGUGUUGUGGCGAGAGAAGUUGGACCUUUUGUAGAAGACAUCUCCUGAGAAAGCACGUGGCUCCGUGGUGUCACCAUAGGGCAUCAGGCAACACAGUAUGGCAGGCUCGGGAUUGCUCUUGCCUUUUGCUGUAAGUUCCUCUUCUGUCCAGCAGUGUAGGUGUGCAUUCACCCCUCCUCCUCUCGCUCUGUUCCCCCAUAGGCCAGAUGUCCUCUCCUCCCUUCUGAGACCCACUCCUUUUUGCUGUGCUCCAGGUGAACCAUAUCACUUUGGGGAUGAAGGGGCCACAGGGUGGGUCCUGCCACCCGCAGUCACAGGGCGAAGUCGCCUGUGUACCCAGAGAGACCCAGUCUGCCAUGCUGCUGUAGCAGAGCACAGAGGAUAGUCAGCAAGCUCAGGGGAGAUGACUGCAAAUCAGGAGCUUAAUCAAGGAUGUGCAGCACUAAAGGGCAUUGUUCUUUCACUGCUUACUUUCUGUGGAGUAAGUGCCAGCCACCAGAAAGCUGUAUGUAGCUCUUGUUCAGUGCGAUGCAAAGGCAGGGUAGGUAUAAAUGUGUUCUGAGCGUUGUAAGAUACUGCUAUACAGCAGCGCUUUGCGUGGCACUGCAAAUGUUAACUGGGUACAGAGCUGCUGUUAGCACUGGCAGAGCACCUGCGGAGGGGCUUAUCAUGUUGGGUGUGAAUGCAGACUUAGAAUGUUUGAAACAUAAAGCCGAGCUCCAGAGUUGUUUGGGAUCCCUGCGCAGACAUAGAAGUUGUGAACUAAAUUGGGGAUGGUUACAAGGUGCCUUGGCCGGGAUCUCAGAAGAGCUGAAUGUGUGUGUGCUUCUCUGUUUAAGACCAGGAUUAAUACAGUGCGGACUCUAAUUUGGAUUCCAGGAAUGAAGUUCAAGAAUCUAUCCUUGCGCAGCCAGGAGGGCUAUCUGAGGCAAAAGUGAAAUUGAUUUUGGUUUAAAAGGGCUGUAAAGAAAGAUAGGAGUAAAUAUGGAGAAAAAUAAUCUAAAAUUGAUUAGAAAGGAGCCAUUACCCAGCAGGCAGUAAACCACUGAAGAUAGGCCAUUGAAUAACCAUGAAAAGAAAAUGAGACUGCUCUGGUAUAUACAAAUAAGAAUCAGAACAUUGCACUCCUGCAAUGGUAUUUUUUGCUUCGGUCCAUGUGUCACUCUUUUGUGGUUUAAGGUUAGAAACUGCUGUGAAAGACUAGAGAUGUGCCCCAUAACUUGGAAUAAACUCUGGAUCAGGAUCGGUAACUAUCAGAGGGAUUUAUAGCAAAGUUCAGCCUAGAAAUGCAGCAGUGGGGACAUAUUCUGGGAGCAAAGUGCAAGCAGGACUUGUGUGUCAAAUUACAUCACAGAUACCAAACUGAAGGAAAAAAGGUGGAUUUCAUUCUUGAUGCUGGCGUGGAAAAGGAAAAUCUGGCUGUAUAUUUGCAAUGUCUGGAACAUGAAACAGUGGCAGUGGUUUUAAUUACAUAGAUGGGACUUACUGAAUAUAUCCAUUUGGAGACUGAGAUUCCCAAUGAAUGGCUGUAUCACAGACAUCAAGUUACCAUAUAAAUUUCAACUACAUUUUUACAACCUUACAGUGGACUUUGCACAUUUAGUGAUGUGGUCUGGGCAUUUCUACUUCUAGUUCUCUGCUCAGCCCAGAUUUGAUGCUGUAUAUAAGGCAUAUCUAACAAGUUAAUGAGAAAAUAAAAUGAUUCAUUCCGCUUUGUCCUUGGGAAUUUAUAGAAGGAAUUUAUAUAUAUUUUACCAAAUAUACCUGUGAACUCCUUAGGCGUAUGGAUUAGUUCCAAGUCAGUGAAAUAACUAAUGUCUCACCAAGCUAUAUAUGAGACAAUUAAGUAUUUUAAGAGUAAGAGCCUAACUGCUAGUUCAAUCAUUCAACUUGGUAAGAGUUCAGAUUUAGAAUAUCAUGUGCAAUCUUCAAUAUCAUUCACAGAAUUCUGGAUGGGAAUUGCUUUUAAGAUAGUCCUCAUAACAACCAGGACAUUAAGUUUAAUCUUGCACCCAGCUGUAAUAAUAUCUACAUUUCAAAUAACUACAUUAAUGUCAACUGUUGCAUAAGUAAAUUAUAUAUCAGAUCUGCAAUGCCAUAUAAAAUCACUUGUUUUUUUGAGAUAGAGGUUUAGGAAAACCAAUGCUUGAGAUACUGCCUCCCUGCCCCAAGGGGUGGGUACGGCUCAGUGUUAGUUUGGACCCUGGCUGGUUAGAUGGUGACCUAAGAGGCAGUAACCACAAAGGGACCAAAAGUCAAGGUUUUUUACAGGCCUCUUAAAUAGACCUUCCUGUAACACUGUGGUGUGGUGCCUUAGGUGUUGUAAGUGGUCUACAUGAGAGUAAGUAAGAUAUAUAAAGCUGUGACUUCAGUCUUAAGAAAAGCGCAUUCUCUAUCAGAACAAGUGAAGGACUGAACUUCUCUCAGACACUGGUGACCUCCAUAGCAUUCAUGCUGCUGCUUUAUAGACAUGCGCCAUAGGUGCCUGCAUUGUAAUAAUUAAGCAAUGAGUAUCUGAAUGUGCAAUUAUAAACCUAUAUUCAUAGCUGUUGUUUGUCU